AACUGAAUAGCCAGGUUCCAUUUGCACUUCCUGUUACAGAAAAAAAAAACCGAGUCAGCAAGAGCUCCUUUCUAUCGUUUGUUCCAGACUUUCCCCUUGGCUGAUUGUGAUCUAAUUCCUUAAAACAAUGGUUCUGCGUAACGCAGCCAGGUGAAUCGAAUGGUCUUUUUAUGCUUAGUGACAUUUAUUUGAAGGUUUACUAAAUUUUGGGUAAGUAAUUAAAAGACACAAGACUGAAAAACUGCCUGUAAACACAGCUAUCAUUAAAGUCAAUGGAUUACCUAAGAACAUCCAAGCAGUAUGAUAUCAGAGACUAGCAAUUUUUAUCACUCAAUGUGGCAGAAAAACCUAAAUAAAUAUUGAAAUGUUCAAUUUCUUUGUUCAUUGCUUUUUUUCUCUUGUAUAUGAAUAUUGCAUGAUAUUUAUGCGAAUUUCGCAUGAUUUUUACAUGAAAAACUGAUAAUUUGGAAUUCGCAUGAAUAUCAUGCGAAAUUUCACUCACAUGAAAAUCGCAUGAAUUUCGCAUAAAUAUUGUAUGAGGACAUUCGCAUGAAAUUCGCAUGUGGAACUUUUCGCAUGGUUUUUAUAUGAUUUUCGUACGAAAUUCAUGCGAAAAGGCAUUCGCAUGAAAAUCAUGCGAGCCACUUUUCCCUGUGU